UUGAACGCUGGCGGCAGGCCUAACACAUGCAAGUCGAGCGGUAGCACAGAGAGCUUGCUCUCGGGUGACGAGCGGCGGACGGGUGAGUAAUGUCUGGGAAACUGCCUGAUGGAGGGGGAUAACUACUGGAAACGGUAGCUAAUACCGCAUAACGUCGCAAGACCAAAGUGGGGGACCUUCGGGCCUCAUGCCAUCAGAUGUGCCCAGAUGGGAUUAGCUAGUAGGUGGGGUAACGGCUCACCUAGGCGACGAUCCCUAGCUGGUCUGAGAGGAUGACCAGCCACACUGGAACUGAGACACGGUCCAGACUCCUACGGGAGGCAGCAGUGGGGAAUAUUGCACAAUGGGCGCAAGCCUGAUGCAGCCAUGCCGCGUGUGUGAAGAAGGCCUUCGGGUUGUAAAGCACUUUCAGCGGGGAGGAAGGCGAUAAGGUUAAUAACCUUGUCGAUUGACGUUACCCGCAGAAGAAGCACCGGCUAACUCCGUGCCAGCAGCCGCGGUAAUACGGAGGGUGCAAGCGUUAAUCGGAAUUACUGGGCGUAAAGCGCACGCAGGCGGUCUGUCAAGUCGGAUGUGAAAUCCCCGGGCUCAACCUGGGAACUGCAUUCGAAACUGGCAGGCUAGAGUCUUGUAGAGGGGGGUAGAAUUCCAGGUGGAGCGGUGAAAUGCGUAGAGAUCUGGAGGAAUACCGGUGGCGAAGGCGGCCACCUGGACAAAGACUGACGCUCAGGUGCGAAAGCGUGGGGAGCAAACAGGAUUAGAUACCCUGGUAGUCCACGCCGUAAACGAUGUCGAUUUGGAGGUUGUGCCCUUGAGGCGUGGCUUCCGGAGCUAACGCGUUAAAUCGACCGCCUGGGGAGUACGGCCGCAAGGUUAAAACUCAAAUGAAUUGACGGGGGCCCGCACAAGCGGUGGAGCAUGUGGUUUAAUUCGAUGCAACGCGAAGAACCUUACCUGGUCUUGACAUCCACAGAACUUUCCAGAGAUGGAUUGGUGCCUUCGGGAACUGUGAGACAGGUGCUGCAUGGCUGUCGUCAGCUCGUGUUGUGAAAUGUUGGGUUAAGUCCCGCAACGAGCGCAACCCUUAUCCUUUGUUGCCAGCGGUUAGGCCGGGAACUCAAAGGAGACUGCCAGUGAUAAACUGGAGGAAGGUGGGGAUGACGUCAAGUCAUCAUGGCCCUUACGACCAGGGCUACACACGUGCUACAAUGGCAUAUACAAAGAGAAGCGACCUCGCGAGAGCAAGCGGACCUCAUAAAGUAUGUCGUAGUCCGGAUUGGAGUCUGCAACUCGACUCCAUGAAGUCGGAAUCGCUAGUAAUCGUAGAUCAGAAUGCUACGGUGAAUACGUUCCCGGGCCUUGUACACACCGCCCGUCACACCAUGGGAGUGGGUUGCAAAAGAAGUAGGUAGCUUAACCUUCGGGAGGGCGCUUACCACUUUGUGAUUCAUGACUGGGGUG
rnacentral:rRNA from 1 species